AAGAUAGAGGCGCGCCUUGUAAUAAGUAUUUUCCGCGGGACAGUCUUCGCAAGACAAUGAGGGAAAAGAAAGGGACGGGCGCCGAAGACGGGCGAGGCGAAAGCCCGAUCUGGCAGCGCGAAAUAAGAUUCGCUCUGCUGUCGCUUUUGCGGAGAGCUAUCUU
rnacentral:ncRNA from 1 species